rnacentral:rRNA from 1 species
AGUCGAGCGGUAACAGGUGUAGAAAUACAUGCUGAUGUUUCCCGAACGGGUGAGUAAUGCUUCGGAAUCUUCCCAGUAGUGGGGAAUAACUAGCCGAAAGGUGUAGCUAAUAUCGCAUACGUCCUACGGGAGAAAGCAGGGGAUCGCAAGACCUUGCGCUAUUGGAUGAGCCGAAGUCGGAUUAACUAGUUGGUGAGGUAACGGCUCAUCAAGGCGACAAUCCGUAGCUGGUCUGAGAGGACGACCAGCCACACUGGGAGUGAGACACGGCCCAGACUCCUACGGGAGGCAGCAGUGGG